UUAAUACUCCCUCCGUCCGGAAAUACUUGUCCUGGAAAUGGAUGUAUCUAGACUUAUUUUAGUUAUAGAUACAUCCAAUUUAUCCAUUAUUUGAACAAAUAUUUCCCGAAAGCCGGAUAGGGAGUACCUA
rfam:Triticum aestivum genome assembly, contig: Triticum_aestivum_CS42_TGACv1_scaffold_193629_3AL